rfam:Treponema maltophilum ATCC 51939 genomic scaffold aczIZ-supercont-complete, whole genome shotgun sequence.
UCCGGCAUGGACGCCGGAAACGCCAUACGUGCCCGAGUUUGCGGAGCAAACUCGAGUUAAAAAUCGGACUUAGGAUGUCCGAUUUUUAAACCUUC